AGUGAACGCUGGCGGUAGGCCUAACACAUGCAAGUCGAACGGCAGCACAGUAAGAGCUUGCUCUUACGGGUGGCGAGUGGCGGACGGGUGAGGAAUACAUCGGAAUCUACUUUUUCGUGGGGGAUAACGUAGGGAAACUUACGCUAAUACCGCAUACGACCUACGGGUGAAAGCAUGGGAUCUUCUGACCUUGCGCGAUUGAAUGAGCCGAUGUCGGAUUAGCUAGUUGGCGGGGUAAAGGCCCACCAAGGCGACGAUCCGUAGCUGGUCUGAGAGGAUGAUCAGCCACACUGGAACUGAGACACGGUCCAGACUCCUACGGGAGGCAGCAGUGGGGAAUAUUGGACAAUGGGCGCAAGCCUGAUCCAGCCAUACCGCGUGGGUGAAGAAGGCCUUCGGGUUGUAAAGCCCUUUUGUUGGGAAAGAAAAGCAGCAGGUUAAUACCCCGCUGUUCUGACGGUACCCAAAGAAUAAGCACCGGCUAACUUCGUG
rnacentral:rRNA from 1 species